GGGUAUAGCUCAGUGGUAGAGCACAUGUUUAGCAUGCAUGAGGUCCUGGGUUCAAUUCCUAGAACCUCCA
rnacentral:tRNA from 1 species